AUGGCUAAUCAUCUUCUACAUGCUCAGCUCCAUCGUCUUCUUCGCAACAGCGCCGCAGAAAUCAAUUUUCAAGCGACGUUCCCGCUUCAACUUCUUCCGAUGCAUCACUACCUUGUUGUUAUUGCAGAAAAUAUGAGAAGGGAUAGAGACGAGAUAAGAUUGAAGAUGAAGAUUGUUGGAACAAUUGCAGAGAGAUGGAGAGGUGAUUAUGAUGACGUGAAGGAAAUUGCAGAUAAAAUUUAA